ACAAAAGAAAUUAGUGCUGUGAUUGCGGUCUUACCCGCCAUUGGAAAGUAAUCAAAAGCUGUCGGGGAUUAGUUUCUCGGGUAUGCAUCGGUCCGUCUGCAGUGUACACCAAUCUAGUUCUGGGUAUCAAUCCAAAUCAAGGUGCUGAUACAGCUUCGGUAAUUGCUCAGAAAUUCAGGUCUCUCCAGCAACAUUUUUUUGGCUUUUGACGGUUCGGACGAACCUGCACGUGACUUAGGGUGGACAAUAAUGGGACAACUUCGUUUGAAAUUGUCUAUCUGUAGUUUCUAGACAGGCCGAUCUAAUAUCAUAAUGGUGCUCGGCAUCUUUUUCAGGCUUUAGUGGGGGGCAUCAUUCGUCGUCAGACACUACGGUCCAACCAACCCGGGGGGCACGCCUCCCUCCCUUUCAUCAAAUUGGCUUUUUUAACUUUCGCUUUAAACAGUGGGGGUCGGGGUUUCAGUCGUGACAAGGACGACUCCGCGUUCCCGAGAAGCAUCCACCAUCCGCCAUUCAAUACAAGACCAGAAAAGUGGUUGGCGGAGUUGAAAUGGCAUCCAAUGUCUUGUUCUUUUAUAAAAACCCCCCACUAACAUAUAUCUUUCAGUUCACACGGGGAGGAGAGAGAGAGAUGAGAGGAAGAGAAGCGGGGGAAAGAAAGAUGCAGCGUCGGGGAGUGCAUGGAAUGGAAGGGUAGGAAAAACGGUGACUGAGUGGAUGGCGUUUGCUCUCUUUCCUAUUCCUCCCAUUCCAUACACUCCUUUGCCUCCUUCCUUUCCCUUCCCCUUCUCCCGUUUUCGAUGGACAUCGCAGUCUUCCGUUCAUCACCCAAAACCUAAGAAAAACAAGAAAGACAGGUAACCCACAAACACAGAUCUGAGUGAUCGAGAGAGAGAGUGAGAGAGAGAGACGAAGAGAGGGAAAGGGAGAGAGGGUCUCAGGAAGUUGUGGGCAUGGGUCGUUUGGUGAGAGGAAUCGCUCUCGGUUGUCAUGCACAGAUGUGUUAUGGAGGGUGAGUUUUCUUGCCAAUACCACCCAUGCCAAUAAUUUCCUGCUUUUCCUCCCUUUCCCUUCUUUUCCCCAGAGCUUUUGACGGCCAUGGCAAAAAGGUUUGUUCGUUUAUCUCUCAGAUCCAUGCUCUCUCUCUCUGUGUCUGCACAUGUUUCAUGUAUAUCUGUACCGAGUAAUGGCUCAAGGGUUUCUUGAUAUGUGUGGGUAGUGUAGAUCUGUCCUUUUGUAGCUGUUUUGCUUUGAUUCAAUUCGUUUUAUGCUUUUUCUCUUUAUCAUUUCAGUUUAUAGAUCUGGGUCUUAGACAUAUAUAUGUGGGCGAGAAGUUGUGUGAACUCAGCUUGUGGUGGAGCUCAAACCAUCUGAAUCAAAAACACUUUAGAUCAUCUGGAGUCUGACAGACGAGCUAGAUGAUCUAAUCUGUCAGAUGUGUUGGGUUUACAUGAGCGAGAGAAUCUUGCAUGGACGUGGAUCGGAUCUAUUACCGCCGUUGAUUAUGUUGUCGAUCUUUGCAUGAUCAAUGGCUGUGAUGGACUCGGUCUAGUGGAUCCGAGUUUAGGUAAGUUUUUCUCUCGGGCUGAUUCGUUCAUGAGUAUCAUCGAAAAUAAGGUGUCGAACACUUCCAGGAUACACUUGUUGGACACUUGUGGUAAGGUACAACUAUGCAAUGCGAUGUCGUGAGUGUAAAGAACGUUAUAACGCCGUCCAAUUGUUUCAAGACUUGCGAUGUAUCCUCGCAAUCAAUCGUUAAAAAUUGUUGUAGCAAAACAUAAGUGUAUGAUACGCUACUGUCCUCCUGUUGAUUGUCUAAAUAUCAUAUGCUUAAAGUUCCCCUAAUAAUAGUCCAAACGCUCAAAUUUUUAGAUAUUCGAAAUAAGAAUGAAAAGUGAUUUGAUAAUAGAUGCAAAUCAUGUAAUAGAUUUCGUCUAUUUUAUUAAAUAUGAAUAGUGGACACAAUCGAAAAAGCUUGAUGAUAGAUGAUUAGAUUUUGAUUUACAUUGAGUAUUUAUAUGGUGCAUUAAACCCUAAUAUUUACUAAUCAAAUAAGGGUAUUGUUAAUAAGUGCCCCAUUAAAACUUGUUAAUCAAACCUAAUAAAGAAAGGUUCUCAUUUUCCAUACAUCAAUAGCACAUAACACGGGGAAAGUGGUGCUAUGGAAAUGACGUGGCUUUAUUUGUGUGGAUGUUUAACAAGUGUUUUCGGGGCACUCGUUAACAAAAUUCAUUGAAAUAAAAUGGUGAAAUUUGAUCUAUACUUGGUACCGUGACCCGGGCCUACGCUCACCCCGUGUCGAUAACCAUUUGUUCAUCCAUUGGAUGUCCUAUCCCAUCUCGUGGAUCACGGUGAAGAAUUUUUGACACUAUUUGCACACUAUAAUAUUGACCAUAUACGAGAAAUUUUAUUGCCCAACUCCGGUACAUUGACAUUCAAACCGGCCGUACGUCAUCUCGUUCCGAGUGGGUAAAGGUCAAGGAGCAGAAGAGUUUGUCGAACCGUAAAUACAAUUUUAAGAGAUUGGUGUAAAAGUCUCGUUGUAUGUCCUAUAUAUACACCAUGAUCUACCUGGUAUUUCAACUUUUUUUUUUAUUUGAAAAAGCGGUAUUAUGUUGACCUACGGCUAUAAUAUUUGUCUGAGCAAAUAUAUAUGUUUACAAAAAAUUACGUGUGCGUAUUUGAAAUGAUAUGACGGUCGUUGGUCAAAAUUGCCAGACAGCUACAAUGUAGUUGCGGGACAUGGGCCUAAGAUGGGCUGGCACGGUACGGCCCGUUACGACACGGUCCAAUGGCCAUCCCUAUAAGUAUAACCUAGAGCAUAUUAACAGUUCCCAGUCCCGUUUUCGCCUUUCUGGGGAGACUUGGCAAUACCAAUGUGUAAUGUGUGGACUCUUGAUUGGGAUAAGGGGCGCUCAACUCGUUUUAUAAGAUAAGAGAGCACCGCGCUUCGAGAGAAGGAAAGAAAAUAAAGAAAGGUAAAAGAAGAGAGAGGGACAAGGGAAAAGAGGGUUUUGCGCGUACACGCCACGGAAACCUCGCCAAGCCGAAUUUUCUUCGGUUCGCAACGCUCCGUGAGGACUUGAGUUAUUUGUUCGUCUAAUCGGAAUAGUUUUCGGAAUUAGGACGCAAAUUCGAAAUUACGUGAUAUCUGAAUUGCGAAAUCCGAUUUCGACUUCGUAAUUCAAAUUUCAUAUGACUUUGAAUUUGUGCCCUAAUUGCAAAAAUUAUUCCGAUUAAACAAAUAAAUGGCUUGAAUUUUUUGCGGGCGUUGCGAAUCAAAGUAAAUCCAGCUUGGAGAGGUCUCCGUGGCGUGUACGUGAUAAGUCCUCUUUUCCUUUUUCCUCUCUCUACUUUCUUUUCUUUUUCCUUCUCUUUAAGCGUACUCUCUGUCUUAUAAAUAAGCCGAGUGUCCAUUUUUCCCUUCUUUGACGAGACUUUUUUCUCUUUAUAUUUUUUUUUGGCUCCUACCCUUUGAUCCAAUUUGGGGUAUUUUUUUUUUACCUCAAAUUGGCAAUCUCUCAAAAUUAUUGUGGAGAUGGACUCGCAAGAAGUAUUUGCACUACUUUAGAAACAAACUAUCUCUCACUGUUUUAGGGAAGAAAAUUCAUGUGAAGAUUGGUUGGCAAAUUGGAUCAUUCAAUCCUACGAUGUAAAUGCCACUUCGGCAUUGGAUAGGCAUAGGUUUAAUUCGCCUAUUAUAGUAAGAUCAGUCUAAUUUAAAUUUUGUUAGGCAAGUGUUAAUCUAAUAAUCGGGUUUUGCCCAUUUUCUUACCCAAUAACAAAGUCUUAAAAGAAAUUUCGUCAUUGAAAUUUGAAUUUACCUCUACUUUCAAACAAAUGAAGGUAUUUGUGCCUCA